rnacentral:rRNA from 1 species
UACAGAGGUCCCAAGCGUUGUUCGGAUUCAUUGGGCGUAAAGGGUGCGUAGGCGGCGCGGUAAGUCGGGUGUGAAAUCUCGGGGCUUAACUCCGAAACUGCAUUCGAUACUGGCGUGCUUGAGGACUGGAGAGGAGACUGGAAUUCAUGGUGUAGCAGUGAAAUGCGUAGAGAUCAUGAGGAACACCUGUGGCGAAGGCGGCCGACUGGACGAUCACUGACACUGAGACGCGAAAGCGUGGGUAGCAAACAGG